CACGCAGGCGCCGCACGGACGUGGCAGAAGGCGGAGCCUAACGCGCACGCACGCCACGACUCAGCCAAUCGUCGGCCGCGCCGGCCGCCCCUCUCUAACUUUACACCCUCGGAUUGGUAGAGAGCGGUGAGGCCACGCCUCCCGCCCUUUGGCUGAGAUCACACCCCUCUGAGGGGCGCAAAAUGGCGGCGGCGCUGUGGGCGCGGAGGGGGGCGGUCGCUUCUCGCGCCGCUCGGUGCUCCCUGCCGGAAGGGGCCCGUGUGGGCGGGAAGGAGGGAGGAGGCGGGAUUGAGGCGGGAUUGAGGCGGGGAGGAGCUGCGGGGGUGUGUCGUGACUGGGAUUUGGUGUGAGGUAAUGUAUGUGAUGGGGUGGACGGGGAACGCGCGGGUUGUUUUUUGCUUACAAUUGAAAAAUAAAAAGUUAAAGAUAACUGAGGGCUCUGCUUUAUAAGUAGCCGAGGUCGAGACGUGCGUAGUGGCCUGCGCAGCGGGAUGAGCGCGCAGCGCGAUUCUGGGCCGUCACCGCCAUUUCCCGUCUGUGCCCUCAGCGCCAAUCGCUGCGCUGCCAUGGAAACCAUCUGACGCACAGCCCGGGGCGAUGCGAACCCACAGGGCUGUGUGAGCACCGCAGCGACCGCCGACCCUUGUUGUAGGGGAGAAGCACUGCGUUCCAAGGAGAACUGAGGGACUGCAGGGGUCCCAUCGUGAUAAAACGUUUUUCUCACAGAGGGUGCCACGUGUAUGGACUGCAGUUUGGCUCGAGGACAGAAACAUUUCUGCAUGUGGAUUUCAUUGCAGCGUGGGCCUGAAGGAGAGCAGGGGAAUGUUCUGAAUGGAAAAACCUCCAUGGCUGAAAACCGUCCGUGGUUGGAAAAAGCAAAGAAAGAGGAAAAAAAAACACAACAGCAAAGUGAUAUCCUCUGGCUGCUCCACAUCUGCCAGCGCUGGAACAAGGAGAUUACAAGGCAGGGAAAUCUGCAAACUGGUGAGCAUAGGACAGUCAGAAAGAUGGGAAGGGAGCCAUGCACUUGCUUGAUGUAAGCGUCUGAGUCUGGAACACACCCUGCUUUACGAGGAGAGAAAAAGCACUCUCCUUUCAUUUUGCCAUAUGACACAACGCAGUAAGAACGAAUAAAUCCUCGCCGUAAUAAAAUUGUUUACAUUCU